GGGGGGCACGGCCGGGCUUUGAGAGAGCGCUACCUGCACGGCCCCCUCGACGCUGGGGAGAGCCGCCGCCCCCCCCCCCCGGCUGGGGGCCAGGAGAGCCCCUCCCCCCAAGUCCUGGUACUGUACAGACCUGUAACAGACAUCAUCCCUGACAGCGAAUUACCAAUACUCCAGUUUCACUCUGAUUUUCGUUUUUAAUAUUAAAUCCACUUAAGCUAUUAACAGAUUCAAGCAAGAAAACAAUGAAGAAACUAAAAGCACCUACGUGCGAAGAUAAAGUCAGAAGACAGGCACCUCUCCUGUGCUUUGCAGAGCCAGCUGAAUCCCUAUCUGAGGCAGGGCAGCAGAGCAAGAAUGUCUUAGGGACCGUCAAACAGACUGCAUCCUAUAAAAGAGCUCCGUAGCAUAGCGGUGGACUCCAGAUCGGGCAGCAACACCAUGUCAGACCUGGUUGCUGGACCUUGGGUUUGAGAUAAACAGAAGGGAAUGCUAACUGAGAGGCAACUUCUUUGGUCAAUUU